rnacentral:rRNA from 1 species
GUGUCAGCCGCCGCGGUAAUACGGAGGGUGCAAGCGUUAUCCGGAUUCAUUGGGUUUAAAGGGUGCGCAGGCGGAUACUUAAGUCAGUGGUGAAAUCCCGGGGCUCAACCCCGGAACUGCCAUUGAUACUGAAUAUCUGGAAUACGGUUGAAGUGGGCGGAAUGUAGCAUGUAGCGGUGAAAUGCAUAGAGAUGCUACAGAACACCGAUCGCGAAGGCAGCUCACUAAGCCGAUAUUGACGCUCAGGCACGAAAGCGUGGGGAGCGAACAGGAUUAGAUACCCUGGUAGUCCACGCCGUAAACGAUGAUAACUCGUUGUUGGCGACACACAGUCAGCGACUAAGCGAAAGCGAUAAGUUAUCCACCUGGGGAGUACGAUCGCAAGGUUGAAACUCAAAUGAAUUGGCGG